GGGCCUAUAGCUCAGUUGGUUAGAGCAUCUGACUCAUAAUCAGGGGGUCCCAGGAUCAUGCCCUGGUGGGCCCA
rnacentral:tRNA from 1 species